CCGGGGAUCACGUGACCGCGAGCCCGCGGCGCCGAUUGGCUGGAGGCUCCCGGGCCGCGCCCCGAGGGCCGGGCCCUCGGCUCCCGGAGGCGGUGCUGCGGCUGGCGAAGAGGCGUCCUUAGGCGCACUUGGGUGAGGCCGCGCCGGCUUCUCGCCUCCCGGGUCAAGUUGGGAUCUGUGCGGCUGGGUCUCGGGUGGCCGGACGCUUUAGCUGUGCUGAGCUUGGUGUCCUGCAGGGCAGCUCUCCGGAGUGGGGCUUUCUAGAGAAUGCUCUAGGGCUCCAGGGCUGCGCUAGGAAAGCGAGCCCUCCACGCGGGGUCACACCCUCGCCGUCUCCCGUGUCGUGGUGCCCUAAGCGGGCUCUCACCGCCCGGCGGGCAUCCUCCCAGGGGAAUCCUCGCAGAGGCCGUCUUCCCCUCCCCAACUUGCUUUUCACGCUUGUUCACCCUGGGGAACGAAGCUCGGACCUCAGGACACCCUCCCCACCCGGGUUCCCCAAGGUUCAUCUGCAGUGAGACCUGUACUGUGACGUGACUCACGGUUGCAGGCAUUAUUUCUCUCCCUCCUGGCAGAAGGUGGCAGGCUGCUGCUGGCCUUCAUCCCUGUGUCUGGCACAUCACAGAUGUGAUUUCUGAGUGAAUUUACAGCGGAGCCUGCUGGGGAUUCCCGUGAGCUCUGCUUGAAGGACCAGCGGGUCUCCCUCCUCCAGCUCUGCUGCGCCAAGCACGGCGUAAGCCCCGACUCAAGAGACCCACAGAAAAGAGGGAACCCUGCCCAGUGUGACUCACAGUCUGGAAGGGGAGAGAGAACAGGUCCUCCAGCAGUCAUAGUGCAAUAUGCCACAGCUGCCACGGCCACAUAGUCCCAGAGUUGCAAAUAUGCUGACAACCCCCAAAUGAUCUGAUACGGGAUCCUUAAUAGGCGUGGAGGUGUUCUCCAGAGGAGAAGUCCCGCCCUCGCCAAUCUCUUGGAUUCUGGAUCAGAAACCCAGACUAGGAAGAGAGAACUCACCAAGAAUCCAAAAUGCUGGCACCCUAAUCUCAGACUUGCAGCCUCCAGAACUGGGAGAGAUGAAUGCCUGUUACUGGAGCCACGCAGUCUUUGGUAUUUGUUACAGCAGCUUGAGCUGACUAGGACACUUUCUCUUCCUCAACCUGUGUAAUCUCACCAA